rnacentral:tRNA from 1 species
GCAGACGUGGCGGAAUUGGUAUACGCGUUGGUCUCAGAAGCCAAUGAACUUAGUUCUUGUGAGUUCGAGUCUCAUCGUCUGCACCA